UUUGUCUCGAUGACAAACCAAGGACAAAAGCUCAGUCUGGAGCAUUCCAGGAGGGGCCUGCCCUCCUCCCGUGGCCUCGGGGCUGGGCCCUGUUUUGAGGAGGGGGAGGCUGGGAGCAGGGUGUGAGCAGCGGGCACGGGCAUCCCGGACUCAACCCAAGUCAACAGCUGGCACCCCCACCCGGCCUCCCCUCUCUGAGGAGUCUGGGUUUAAUUUUCUGGUCAGUGCCAAAAGGAGGAGGAAGAGGACGAGGAGGAGGAGAAGAAAGGAGUGAGCUGAAGCCCUAAUGCGGUCGGCUGGGAUCUGUCACUCAGCGCACUGGCCUGCUGACGACUCAGGGCAGCCCCAGCUGUAAGCAGCCCAUGAUUUAUGGACACCGAGUGAACUCCUGCGGCAGAAACCAGCCUUGAGAUCAGAGCGGCAAUAGGGCCCUUUUUUUGGCAGGAGACAGGGCCGGCAUUUUUCUCAUUCAUGCCAAACUGCUUUGCACGGCAAUUAGCUCUGUCCUCAUUUAGUCUCCAGUCCCAAAGGGUAAUGAAAGUCAUAGAUCAUCUUCAAGACUGCUAAUUAUUGAGCUCGCUUACAGCACCGCGGACCCAGCUGAACUGGCAGAGCACUUCAAAGGCCUGCGGGUCAUUCAUCAUCCCCAUGACGCUCCGGCAAAUGCUCAGCUUCAGCUCCGCGCCAGGGAUUUGUUAUGACUUGCGAGCCGGCUGACAGACAGGACAGUGGCGGCCGCGGGAGGGGGACGCGCGGGAGGGAGGCUCGCAGCCCUUUUGUCACUCCGGGGGAGAGGCAGCGCCCAGCGCCCGGAGUCGGGGCGGGGUGGCAGGUGGGGGGCCUGGGUGGGGGAGGCAGAAGGUGCAGCCUGGUCGGGAGUCACCCACGGUGGGGGGCAGGGGUGCACAGGGGGCUGGGGUCCCAGGACAGCCCCCCCCCCCGCCCCACGCUGUGCCCGCAGGCCCAGGGAGCGCCCUCGCCCCUCCCGUUCCACCCUCCUCCUCUCGGCUGGCCGCGGCGCCUCCGAAAGUUGUGCUGAAAACCCAGAGGCCGUGACAUGAUUAAUCGUUUUCUUCUGAUCUAAUUUUGGAACAUGAAAAACAGCACAUUUGUCUUGAAGAAAAAUGAUGUGCCGAACUGCGCAGAUGGAAAUUUCGAGCAAUGAGAAAGAUUAAAGUGAAACCCCACUCCUUAGACCUAAUCAUGAGUUGUAGAUUAUUCUGUCGGCCCAGCCAGAUGGUAGCUCUGAUUCCACAGCCCCUUCUUAUAUUAAUGAAUACUAGACUGUUAUAUUUGACUUAGGAUUCAGUUCAGAUGAAUUGGCUGUGAAGAGACGACCUUUCCCAUCUACUCCCAGCUUACUCCUCCAGCCUCAUCUCUCACCUCUCCUUCACUAGGAACCUGCUGUUCCGCCACAGGAGCCUUCUCGGGGCUCUGAAGAAUGCUAGGCUCUUUCACAACAAUGUAUUUGUGUCUGUGUUUGUCUGUCCCACUCCCUUCCAUUCUUUAUCUGGCAAACUCCUAUUCAUCCUUCAAGACCCAACACCCAUGUGUCCUCCUCUGCCCCUUUCCUCACAUUCCUCUGGGCAUUAUCUAAUACUCUUGGCUUCCAUCACAGUUUGUCCACAUCCCUGUGGAAAUAUGGUGUGGGUUGCAUUGGAAAAUGCAUGUUUUUGUAAACACACUUCUACAUUUCCUUUCCCUUCCAACUAUUUGUGCGUUCAUCCGUUUGUUCAUGCAUCCGAGUAGUGCGUCUUGAGAACCUACUAUAUUGCCAGGUGUUGUUUCAGGCCCUAGGGAUUCAGCCCGGUACAAAAUUCUCAGCCCUCUCAGAGGUGCCAUUUUGGUAUUAUCUGUGUGGGUCUGUUAGUGAGGCUUCUUCGCAGGAAGAAAUAGAAAUUCAUUUAGGCCAGCUCUCAUAGUGGGGGUUAUUGUAAAAUAGUGGCAAUAAAGGAGUGAAAAUCUCAUGGGGACCCAAGACAACUGGAUGGCUUCUGAACAACCUCUCAGCUUCCAUAACUCAUUAUUGGGUCACUCAUGGCCCCUCCCAGGCCUUACUGCCGUUUUAAAAACUUUGUAUUGUGGUAUACACGCAGAAAACUGCACAUAAGGGGCACCUGAGUGGCUCAGUCGCUAAGUGUCUGAGCUUCUGCUCAGGUCAUGAUCCCAGGGUCCUGGG